UACGUAGGGGGCAAGCGUUGUCCGGAUUUAUUGGGCGUAAAGAGCGUGUAGGCGGCCAGACAGGUCAGCUGUGAAAACUCGAGGCUCAACCUCGAGACGUCGGUUGAAACCGUCUGGCUAGAGUCCGGAAGAGGAGAGUGGAAUUCCCGGUGUAGCGGUGAAAUGCGCAGAUAUCGGGAAGAACACCGGUGGCGGAGGCGGUUCUCUGGGCCUGUACUGACGCUGAGGAGCGAAAGCGUGGGGAGCGAACAGG
rnacentral:rRNA from 1 species